UUUUAUACAUCAUACAUACCAUGUAUAAAGACAUAUAACAUAUAUAAAAUAUUCAAUCAUGACAUAACAUCAUCACCAUCAUAGUAAAUUGUCACUUGAGCGAAAUGCAACAAAAAUGCAACACCCUCUCAGGGCUCUUCUCGCUUGAGGGACCACCUCAUCGCUCAAGCGUUAGUCACUUAAGUAACAUCCACUAUUAAGUUUUAGAGAAUCCUUCCACUACUUUUGGUAGCUUGAGCACCCAAGAGCUUGAGUGCUCAACCUAGCAUUGGAGCACCCAAUGAUCGUGCUAAGCACUAAUAUGUCCAUGACACGUAUGCACCACCUCAGCCACGGUUAAGUAUCCACCACAAUCCUCAAGCCAAAAAGCUUAAGUUCCUUCUCCAACACUUGAGUGAUUGAUAGUUGUCAUUUUGAUGUCAAAUUAAAAUGGUUCCAGCGUAGACUUGUCUAACGCUAAAGAGAUGAUAGUAUACAAGUGAUUAGAUGACCUCAAGUUGUCUCUCAACGAAUUCAAUAAUAAAAUCAGUAAAUCAAUGUUUAGAAUCUAUCUGCAAGCAAUAAAAUUUAGCAAUAACAAUAUAAAGAUAAAAAGAGGAUUGAGAUAGUUGUGCAAAAAAUAUAAAACAAAUUAAAAUAGCAAUUAAAAUGCGGUUGAUCAUCAAGUUCUUCCACCAUUAAAAUUCUUCAUAGAUUCUCUAAAGAUUAAUCAUUUCUCAAUCCUCCAACAAAGCUAAACCAAAUUGAACUUGCGUCAGUCUAAUUCAACUGAAACUCACCAGUAAAACAUGAGUCUACUGGUUUAAUCAAUACUCACUUUGUUCCAUGCGUAUACUCCAUGGAAAUGCUUAUCUCAUCUCUCUUGAAUCAUGCGCCCAAGAAAUUAAUUAGAACAAUGCGAACUAACUAAGAAACUAAAAUUUAAGAUAAGGAAGACUCUCAAUGAUGCAUUCAAGUACAACCUCUCACAAAAAUCAGUUUUCCAUGAGAUUAGAAUAUUAAAACAACUACUAUAAAAAAAUAAAAAUUGAAACUUUUAUUGAAAAAAAAUCUCAAAACUCAAUGGGAAAUUACAAAGGAAUCAACCAAAAAGGUUUAGCCUUCCAUGUGGAGGCAAAACAAAAGAAUUACAAGAAAAAAAGAAACUAAGAAAACCCUAUGAAACUCCCUCCUUUCUCCUUGAUGCUUGUGUCCUUUUAUAGGCCUUUAUGCUCCAGGGAUCUUGGAAAAAUAUUGUAGUCUAGAUUUUGUUAACAAUUUCAAAGUUUUUGACUUUUCAGAAUUCUUGUAUUUUGCAGAAGAUUUGCUUCCAAUUCUGUUUCUGAGAUAUUGUAGCUUUUAUUUUCUCUUUCUUCUCCUCAAAAUUUGUUUUCUGUUUUGAUUAAAAAAGCAACUUUGACUUUUGCAUAUUUGGCCCAUUCACUAAGGUAGACACUUCUUUCAGACCAUUUACUCUAAAAACACAAAAUUAACAAAAAUAAUAGUUAAAGCCCAAAUAAACUCAAUUAUAUGAAUAUUAAUUAAAAAAAUUUAUUUAUUUAUUAUUAUAGUUCAAUAAUCCAUGAUUAAAGCUAUUGAGUGUGAAUAAAUAUAUGCUCAUCAAUGAUAUACUUGAGAAUUGACUCAACAUCUAUGUCACUUGAACAAUAAGCCACAACUUGAACUAUAUAACAUGUCACUUGGACAACCAACACAUUUCUUAAGUGAUAUAAGACAAUAAGUGUAAUGAUUACAUCACUUAGGUCUCUCUUGAGUGUCAAGUGACCGUAAAGCAACCCCAAAGGGCUCAAACAAAGGAUAUUCUCAAAGAUUUCCAAAUUGUAUGUGGAUUCUUACCAUCCCAUGUCCAUCAAAGAGUUAUUUUAAGACUUAUAUCCAACAAUGUAUCAUCACAACAACUCUACAACUCUUCUAACAUGCAUAUAUUUUACAUAAUAUCAACCUCCAUGCAUUACAUACAACUAACAACUAUCAUAUUGUAAAAAAUUGACAUAAUAACUCCCCUUGUCUAGAUUGAAGUAUGCUCUCAUAACAACCAAUACUUGAUCAUUUUUCCUAAGACUCUAAUGAAUCUAGAGAAGUUCUCAAAACAUCAUUUUAUAUGAGCAAACAUUUCCUCUAAAUCAUUCAUACAAGUAAAGAAGAAGAGAAGAAAAAAAGAGAAGACAAAAAGAUAAGAAAACUCAUAUAUGAUUGAGGUUACUUACCAAGACUAACUUCUCAUCAAUCCAAAACAAUUAGUACCUUACUAACUCCACAAAACCUCAAUCUAGUAAAGAAUCUAUAAUUAAAAACUCACUUAUAUCUGUCGAAAAUGACAACUUUUACCAUAGCCGUUGUUUUAUAUCUUUCAAAAGGGUCUAAAGUGGUGGCUUUUACCAUAGCCGUUGUUUUAUAUCUCUCAAGAGGGUCUAAAACAACGCCUUUUUACCAUAACUGACAAUUUAUAUCUUUCAGGAGGGUUUAAAACAACGAAUAUUUACCAUAAUUGCCAUUUUAUAUCUUUUAUGAGGGUCUAAAAUGAUGAAUUUUACCAUAACUGCCAUUUUAGACUGAAUAUAACACGACAAUUAUAUAGUCGUAGUUUUUGCUUGAAGAAAAUAGACUACACGUUGAAAGACAGCGGUUCAAAAACUGUUGUUUUAAUGCUAAAAUGACUGUUGUGAUUUAGCUUUUUCUGUUGUCUUUGCUUAAAGAGAAUACACUAUCUUUGCUUGAAGAGAAUAAAUUACAUGCUAAAAGACAACAUUCCAAGAACCGUUGUUUUAAUUCUAAAAUGACCAUCGUGAUUUAGCUUUUCUGGACCAGUGAUGGUAAACUUUCUUUUUAGAGUGAUGGUGAUAAACAUCUAUCGAUUUGAAAUUGAAAGAGUUAGAAAGUAAGAAAAAAAACAUGAUAAAAAUAUUAAAUAAUAUCAUAGAAAUAAAAAUGGAAGAGAAAUGUAAAUAAAUUUAAAUAAAAAUUAGAUGUGAGAGUAAGUUAGUUUAUAUUGAUUUGUUUAGCGAUUUAAUAAUUGAAAAAGUCAAAUAAAAAAGAGUAAAUUAUAGUAAUAUUUGCUAAUAAUGUAAUUAGACCCAUGUUUGUUUUUUUUCUAUGCUAUACUUUAACUUAUAAUAAUCCUUUCCAUUAUUAUAAACUUUUUUAAAAUUACAUAACUUUUUUAAAAUUAUGCACUAAUAAUAGGCAUGGUCAUAAUAUUUUGUUAAUAUUUAUCUUAAUAUAUAGAUACACACACAUAAACAUUAUUCUAAUUGCAAUUGUAUCCUUAUUUAAUUGUAUAAUUUAAGUAUUAUAUAAUAUUAUGUUAACAUGUGAGAUUGAAUCUGUUUUAUAUGUUGUUACGUGUGGAUUAUUAGGAUGAUAAAAAAAUAUAAAAAGAGUAAACUGCAUGAUGUUAUUAUUUUGGAAAACUUUUCUUUUAACACUCGAAACAAAAAACAAACACUUAACAGCUCUUUUUAAUAAUAUAAUAAUAUUUUAAAUAAAAAAUAAAAUAAAAAUAUAAAAAUAUUAAUUUAUUAGAAUGUUAGGUGUAUGUAUUUAGUAUAGAUUCUUUUAAUAAUAUAAUAAUAUUUUAAAUUAAAAAAUAAAGUAAAAAUGGUUAAAAUAUGAACAUUAUUAGCAGCAAAGAACAGUGAAUAUAAGUGUUUUACUGUGACAGUGAAGGUGGAGUUUGGAGUCUAGAGGUUGUUGAGGACGAUGUUGGCGAGAUUCAAACCUUCACAUGUGGUGUCAUCAUCAGAGAUCUUGGAAGAAAAAGACCAAGAGAACCCUGAGGUGGCAGAGAACCCAACGCUCACCCACUCCGGAAGAAGGCUCUCGAGCUCCACUCUCUGAGAGACGAUGUAGUUCGUUGGCUGAGAAGGGUAAACCAGAGAAGCCACCAAGAGCUUCGUGGAGGACUCAUAGGUGAUCUGAACCUCCGCGUUUUCUCCGUUGACCAAUUCCCACGGCGUCGUUUUCAUAGACUCGAUGGAGUUCACGUCGAUGCCAAUAUGACGGCCUUCGGGGUCCCACUCCUGGUUGACGAAGGUGUCGAACUCCACAGCCACAGUAUGGGCUUUGCUGUUGUAUUUGUCGCUGUCGAAAAGACCUAGAAAACCGCCUUGCUUUGUUGGGAACGAGAGCAAAGCCAAGGCCAUCGGCGGCUUUUGCUUUGUUGGGAGCGUGGAUAUUGAAUUUGAAGUUUGUGGUGAAGCUGGCGACUUUUCCGGUGGCGCUGUCUUAGAUUUGGAUGGGGGCGGAGUAGAAGGCGCGGCCCAGAGAGGCCACCGUGGGUUCUCCGUUGCUAUUAACAUUGGUUAGUCGUAACUGGCCGGAGGAUGAGACGGAGGCAUCGCCUUGGAGGAUAAGGUUGGUUUCGUUGAACCUAUCGAAGCUGAAGGAGGUUUCGCUGGCUGAGUUUGCGUGGCUGAGAAGCACAAGGAAGAGGCUAGGUUGAGUAAGUUGGAGGAAGCCAUGUAUGCAUUCAUGCAUUAACCAUCACUCUCUUCUCUAUUUAUACAACAACAAAUGCAAAAUCUUUCCAACUUUUUUAUUUCAUUCUAUUAUUAAAUACGUGUUUUCGAAUGAUUAACUUUUUUCUUUUAUAAUAUUAUUUGAGAGAGAAAUAAGAAUAUUAAAAUAAGAAUUAAGCAACGAUUGAUUUUACAACGAUUCAACGUUUUGCUACGAUUCUUAAUUACAAUGUGUCGAUAACUCUUUUUAAGUAUUUGGGUAUGCUGGUAGGGGGUGUCAUUGGAGAGGUGCUUUUUGAGCGGACAAAAAUUCCAAAAAUCCACCAUUUAUUAUUAAUCUUUUUUAUUAUUUAGGUAUUUUUCAGGUAUUUUAAGGUUUUAGUUCUCACAGUUACCCUAAUUAGAAAAUUCUAAUUUUUUUUUCAUGAUUUUUUAGUUAUAAAUUAGUGAUAUAUCAAAACCCUAUAAAUUAGUGAUAAUUCAUAUUUUUCGUGAAGGGAAUGCGUGUGCUAAUAAGUUGGCUAAUUUAGGAUUUAUUCAUAGAGAAUCAUUUCAUUGGUAUAAUAGACUCCCAGCUAGUCUGUUCUUAGAAUUCUUUAUGAAUAGGUAUAAUCUACCUAUUUAUCGUUUUUGUUAACAUAUGGGUUUUGGUCUAGUCCCGUCAUAUUUUUGUAUUUUCUUUCUUUUUUCUUUUUUUUUAAUAAUAUUUUUUUUAUGUGAUGACAAAUGAUUGUUGUUACUUGAGGUGUCAGCUUAGCUGAGAUGUCAAGUUGCAUAGUGAUGCCUAACACGAAAACUUUAUAUAAAAAAAAACCCUAUGGACAUAUAUAUGUCAGAUUUGUUAGAAUUUGCAUAUGGAGAUCAUUGUAAGAGCAUGACUGGAAGCAAAUAAUAAUAUUUAACUUAUUCUUUAUAAUUUUUUAACACUAAUUAAUGUGAAUCCUUUUUCCCGCCAUAGAAUAUGUGAGAAAUGGGCCACGUAUUUCCUUAAUUUCUAUAACUCUAAGAUAAAUAAUCAAUAAUAUAGGAAUUAGAUAGAUAGAUAGGAAUAUAUAUGUUAUUAGUGUUUGUAAUACAUCUUUAUCAAUGUAUAUAAUUUGAUUAUCUGAAUAUAUGUAUCAGGGCUAACUUAGUUUUAAUUGUACAAGUCAAUUUAGAUAGGAUUAACAUUAAACAGAAUGAACUAAACAAAAAAUUCUCAUUUAAAAUGGCGGCUUUUACCAUAACUGCCAUUUUAUAUCUUUCAAGAAGGUAUAAAUGACGACUUUUUAUCAUAACCGUCAUUUUAUAUCUUUAAGGAGGAUCUAAAACGGUGACUUUUUACCAUAACUGUUGUUUUAUAUCUUUUAAAAAGGUCUAAAACGACGACUUUUACCAUAAUUGCUGUUUUAGACUGAAUAUAACACAACGAUUAUAUAAUCUCUGUCUUUGCUUGAAAAGAAUAGACUAUAUGUUGAAAGACAACGCUACAAGAACCGUUGUUUUAAUACUAAAAUGAUCGUCGUGAUUUAAUUUUUUUCAUCAGUAAUUGUAAAGUUUCUUUUUAGAGUGUUGAUAAACAUAUAUCGAUUUGAAAUGAAUAGAGUUAGAAAGUAAAAAAAAAAUACAAGAAAAAUGUUAAAUAAUGUCAUAGAAAUAGAAAUGGAAGAGAAGUGUAAAGAAAUUUAAAUAAAAAUUAGAUGUGAGAGUAAGUUAGUUUAUAAAUUGAUUUGUUUAAUGAUUUAAUAACUGUAAAAAUCAAAUAAAAGUAAAUUAUAGUAAUAUGUACUAAGAUUUAAUGUAAUUACACCCAUGUUUCCUUUUUUUUUCUCUGUUAUACUUUAACUUAUAAUAAUCCUUUCCAUUAUUAUAAACUUUUUUAAAAUUACAUAUUUUUCAAAUUAUGCACUAAUAAUAUAAUAAUACACAUGCUGAAUAAUACGCAGUGUAAAUAUAUGAGCUCCUAUUUUAUUUAUGCUCCCAUUUGUGACAGAUGAAGAUUAUUAGCAGGAAAGAAGAGUGAGAGUGAGUAUAAGCAGGGUUUUACUGUCACAGUGAAGGUGGUUUUUGGAAUCUAGAGGAUCUUGUUGAGGAGGAUGUUGGCGAGAUUCGAAUCUUCAGAUGUGGUGUGACAGGAGAACUUGGAAGAAAAAGACCAAGAGAGCAGGUCGUGCGUUUCACUGGACACGUUAGAUGACCCUGAGGUGGAAGAGAACCCAACGCUCACAUUUAAUAAUAAUAUUAUGUGAUACCUCACAAUUAUUUAUCUUAUUAAUUGAUCAAUUACCAUAAUUAUCCUAUUAUAUUAUUGGUAAUUACUAUUAUCAUAAAUAAUUAGGGUUUCUUCUUGGGUGUAUUAUAAAUAGAGAUUACCAGACAACUAAAGAGACACUCUUAUAUUCUAACAUCACACGGUCGAAACUCAUUCCCUAAAGGGAUUUUCGAGCCUCUCAUCUCUUUGUCUCUCUGCUCACAUAAUUCCAUUUUAAGCGAUACACUCUAAAGGGAAACCCGAUCAAGAUCAUGUCUUCGUCCCUCAGCCAUGCGAUCACGGGUUUACCAAGUAUUAUCUAAUCAUUAUUCUCGUUUCAUUAUAUGAUUGAGGAAUCCUAAUCCAACAUGUGGUAUCAGAGUCAGGUUUAUGUUGUUUAAUCGAUUCUUCUUUUGUUUUCCCUAAAUUUGGAAGAAACGAGGAUUUUGAUUCAACCUAUUGAUUUUCGAUGUUUUUAUUUUGGUAUAUUAUUGAACCACUUAUUUUCGAAAAUCCACCUUGAUAUCAUAAAAUAAAUUUUAAUUUUUUCGAGAUCCAUAAUUAUUUUAAGAUUUUGAAAAUUAAAAUUUAAUAUUAAUGUUAUGUGUUCUUCAUAAUUUUCGUGAGUAUUCCCUUAUUUGGAAUGGAAUUAAUUUUGAUUAUAUGUUCAUCAUCAUUAUUUGUUGUUCGUAUGAAUUUUUGAAAAUUAUGAAUAAAGAAUUUUCAAAAAUUAAUUAUUCCCUUAAUUAGGAAAUUUUGAAAAUAAUAUUUUUCCUUAAUUCAAAUUUUCGAAAUACAAUUGAUUCCCUUAAUUAGGAAUGGAUUUGAUUUGAUUUGAUUGUGUUUUUCUAAAAAAAUAAAUAAAAAUUGAUAUCUUAGUCUCCACGUUUUUCCUUAUUUAGGAUAGUAUAUUCUUGCCUUAUUAAUUUUCGGGUAUUAUUAUUAUUAUUACUAUUUUCGAAAAUAGCAGUCGUGUCAAACUUGGAAACAUAUCAAUCUAAUUAAAAUUUUGAAGACCAAAUCUAAAAUCAAAUCCUUAAUAUUCCGCUACUCACUUAUCGAGUUUACGAGUAACAUAUUUACGCGUUUCCUUUUAUUUAUCGAAUUAAAUAUGGUAAAUCUCAUGAUACCGUAAUUAUGUUUUAAAAAAAAUACUUAUUUUGUUAAACUCUUAAAACAAAAAUAUUAAGUUUGACAAAAUUAAAAUUAAAUUUUUUGCUUAAACUUAAUAACAGGAGUCUCCCUUCUGUCCAACGAUGAUGGGUUAUGUCUUGUUAUUUUAGUCUAAUUAAGCACCUUCACUUACUUGUGAGUACACUUAAUUAUUAAAUAUUCGCAUGACAUUUGCCUAAAAACACAAUUAUUUCUUAUUUCUAUUCUGUCCAACGAUGUUUGAUGCACUUGUGUUUUGCAAACUUAAUAUGUGCAUAAGCUUAAAUGUUCAAUUCUGUCCAAAGAUGAUGUGUCACAUUCUUAUUGCACAUACCUUACUUAUAAUUGUUCAUUAUUCUUAAAUAAUUGGUAAUUAACCAAAGUGAAAGCUGAUUGUUUAAGUAGAACCUAAUCUAGUCUAUUAUUUUGAUGUUAUAAUAGAUUUUAUCACAGCUUCAUUAUCAUAAUGGUUCUUACUUAUGCCUGCUUUAGAUCUAAGUUUCCAAAUGUCACUCUAACUUUUUCCUUAGCCUAAGUAUCUUAAUUCGUCGUCUAACCAGCCCCUAAUAUGGAAAUUGAGACCUUGACUGGUGAAAAUCAUUCUUCUUGGAAAGAUUCCUUGAUGCUNNNNNNNNNNNNNNNNNNNNNNNNNNNNNNNNNNNNNNNNNNNNNNNNNNNNNNNNNNNNNNNNNNNNNNNNNNNNNNNNNNNNNNNNNNNNNNNNNNNNNNNNNNNNNNNNNNNNNNNNNNNNNNNNNNNNNNNNNNNNNNNNNNNNNNNNCAAUCAUUAGAGGAGGCAUUCCUGAUUCACCUAACGCUAAGGCUUAUCUAGCUUCUGUGGAGGAACAAUUUCAAGGAACCUCUAAGGCUCAUGCUAGUACUCUUAUCUUGAAGUUGGUGACUACAAAAUAUGACGGGCGCACCGGCAUUCGUGAACACAUCCUGAUGAUGAGCGACAUGGCCCGUAAACUUAAGGGAUUAGCCAUGGAGAUCAGUGAAGGUUUCCUAGUCCACUUCAUUAUGACUUCUCUUCCUUCUGCGUUUGAAGCCUUCAAAGUCAACUAUAAUACUCAGAAGGACAAAUGGUCCAUGAGUGAGUUGAUUGCUAUGACUGUUCAAGAAGAAGAGCGCCUGAAGUUGGAGAAACCAGAUGUUGCUUACCUCGUGGCUGCUGAGUCGAAGAAGCGGAAGGGCAAAUUCCAUAAAAAGGAAUCUAAUAAGGUCCCUAAAACUGAUGCAAGUGCACCCUCCAGCUCUAACAAAUUCACUAGCAAGUUCUACUGCAAGUUCUGCCGCAAGGUAGGACAUAAGCAGUCUGAGUGCUCAAGCUUUAAGGAGUGGUUGGCUAAGAAAGGUAAUCAUCUAAAUAUGAUAAUUGAGUCCUUUAAUUUAAAUGUUCCAACUAAUACUUGGUGGUUUGACUCUGGUUCUAUGGUUCAUGUGACCAAUUCAAUCCAGGGAUUCCUUACAAUCCAGAAGCUGGAAAGAAACCAAAGAACACUUAAGAUGGGGAAUGGACAAGAACUAUUUGUCGAAGCUGUCGGAAUCUUAGAAUUACUUAUGAAAACUGGAAAAUGUAUUAAACUUUAUGAUACCUUAUAUAUUCCCGAAAUUACUCAGAAUCUUGUAUUAGGACCAAAGUUAGACAUUGAUGGUUUUUAUGUUUCCCAUGGUCAUGGCAAACUUACUAUUUCUUUAAAUUCUCAAUUGUUUGGUACUGGUUUUCUGGAUAACGGUCUCUAUAAGUUAGAACUAGAUGAUAACUUCUCCAAAUCUUUGUUAUCAUAUAAUAUUAAUGAGAACUUAACAAAGACCAAGAGAAAACGAGACUUAGAAACUUCAUCCAUGUUGUGGCAUCAACGUUUAGGCCACAUUUCACGAGAUCGCUUAUCUCGACUUGUGAAGGAUGAAGUCUUACCAUCUCUCAAUUUCACUGAUUUUGGAACAUGUGUCAAAUGCCUCAAAGGCAAAAUGACAUCCACGACUAAGAAAGGCAAAAUGACAUCCACGACUAAGAAAAAAAAAUACAAGAAAAAUAUUAAAUAAUGUCAUAGAAAUAGAAAUGGAAGAGAAGUGUAAAGAAAUUUAAAUAAAAAUUAGAUGAGAGAGUAAGUUAGUUUAUAUUGAUUUCUUUAGUGAUUUAAUAACUGUAAAUAAGAAAGAGUAAAUUAUAGUAAUAUUUACUAAGAUUCAAUGAAGUUACACCAAUGUUUCCUUUUUUUAAUAUGUUAUACUUUAAUUUAUAAUAAUCCUGUCCAUUACUAUAAAAAUUUUAAAAAUUACAUAUUUUUCAAAUUAUGCACUAAUAACACGCAUAUAUGGUCAAACAGAAUAAACUAAAGCAAAAAAUUCUCAUUUAAAAUAGCGGCUUUUAUCAUAACGGUCGUUCUAUAUCUUUGAAGAUGGUAUAAAAUGAUGAGUUUUUAGCAUAACUGCCAUUUUAUAUCUUUCAGGAGGAUUUAAAACAACGAUUUUUUAGCAUAAUUGUCGUUUUAUAUCUUUAAAAAAUGCCUAAAAUGAAGACUUUUACCAUAAUCGUUAUUUUAGACUGAAUAUAACACGACGAUUAUAUAACCGUUGUCUUUACUUAAAGAGAAUGGACUUCAUGCUGAAAGACAGCGGUAUAAGAAUCGCUCAUUCAUGCUGAAAGACAGCGGUAUAAGAAUUGCUCAUUUAGUGCUGAAAUGACCGUUGUCAUUUAGCUUUUUUGCACCAAUAAUUAUAAAGUUUAUUUUUAGAGUGGUGGUGAUAAACAUAUAUCGAUGUGAGAAUAAGUUAGUUUAUAUUGAUUUGUAUAGUGAUUUAAUAACUGUAAAAGUCGAAUAAGAAAGAGUAAAUUAAAGUAAUAUUUUCUUAUGUUUAAUGUAAUUUAAACCAAUGUUUUUUUUUUCUAUGUUAUACUUUAACUUAUACUAAUCCUUUCCAUUAUUAUAAACUUUUUAAAAAUUACAUAUUUUUUAUUUUUCAAAUUAUGCACUAACAAUACGAAUAUGCAUGGUCAAUAAUACGCAGUGUAAAUUGUGUAAAUAUAUGAGCUCCCAUUUUAUUUAUUUAUUUUAGUUUGUGUGACAAAUGAACAUUAUUAGUAGCAAAGAAGAGUGAAGAGUGACUAUAAGUAGCGUUACCAUGAGACUAUGUUACUAUAUGAGACUAUGAGGUAAUAUGGCCUGAAAAAUGUUGAAGGAACUUGUCAAAGACUCAUAGACAAAGUCUUCAAGGGGAUUGGCCGGAACAUAAGGGAAAUGGUCGGAACGAUUUACGUGGACGACAAACUCAUGUGCCCAACACAUAAAGAUUUGAAAGAACUCUUUGAAGCUAUUAGGCUAUGAUGUUCAGACACUUCUCUUAAAUGAUGUGUCGGUGGUAGAUACUCAUAUCGGACACCGACAUUCGUAUGACACUUGUAGGACACGUAUUCGUGAAAUGUCCAAUUCAAAAAGUAUUUGUUGGAUUUUUGACAAUUUUAAUACAAUUCUAACAGAAUUUUAAAAAGGAAAAAUACAUUAAUUUUCUAAAAACUCAAACUUAUUGUAUAAAUUUUUAUUAUGAUUAUAAAAAUAAGAAACAAAUCAUUUUGAAGUAGUCAUGAAAAACAUUUUUUUCUCUUUUCUCCAAAAAACAAUCUGUAACAUACUUGUGUACAUAAAUCUUUAUUAUCAAUUUAUAUAAUUUAUAAUUAUAUAAUAUAUAGAUUCGUGUUUUCAUAUCCUACAUUUUAAAUAUUUAUUUUAAAUAUUUUCCGUAUCUUUACGUUUGUGUCCUUGUUUUAUCGGUGUCCGUGUUAUACAGCUCUUAAGUGAAUGAACAUGCGGCUAAAUCCUGAAAAGUUUGCGUUCAGGAAUAUAAGUUAUUGGGUUUAGGGUUUAAUCUCGAGAAAUGUAGGGCGAUAGAGAUAACAAGAUGAUCAAAAAUACAAAAAAAAGAAGAAGAGUAAAAUAGAGUAAACUCCAUUAUGUUAUUAUUUUGGAAAACUUUUCUUCAACAGUCCAAAGUUUGGAGUAAAAAACAAGCAUUUGACAGCUCCUUUUAAUAAUAUAAUAAUAUAUGAGCUCCCAUUUUAUUUUCUGUGACAGAGAAACAUUAUUAGCAGGAAAGAACACUGAGUGAAAGCAGUGUUUUAGUGUCACAGGGAAGGUGGAGUUUGGAGUCUAGAGGAUUUGGUUGAGGACCAAGUUGGCGAGAUUCAAAGCUUCAGAUGUGGUGCCAUCGGAGAGCUUGGAAGCAAAAGACCAAGAGAGGACGUCGUUCGUUUCAACGUUCCCUUUAGUAAUCCCAGUGGUGGCAGAGAACCCAACGCUCACCCACUCGGGAAGAACGCUCUUCAGGUCCACUGUGUCAGAGACGGUGAAGCUUGUUUUCAGAGAAGGGUAAACCAGAGAAGCCACCAAGAGCUUCGUGGAGGACUCAUAGGUGAUAUGAACCUCGGCGUUUUCUCCGUUGACAAAAUCCCACCGCGUCGUUUUGAUAGACUUGAUGGAGUUCACGUCGAUGCCAAUAUGACGCUCUCUGGGGUCCCAGUCCUUGUUGUAGAGGGUGUCGAACUCCACAGCCACAGUAUGGAAAUUGCUGUUGCUGCCGUCGAAAAGACCUAGAAAACCGCCUUUGUCUUUGGGCUGAGAGCCCACGGGGACGAGAGCAAAGGCAAGGCCAUCGGCGGGUCCUGCAUUGUUGGGAACCUGUAUAUUGAAUGUGAAGUUGGUGUCGAAGCUGGCGACGUUGCCGGUGGUGUAGUCCCAGAUUUGGAUGGGGGCGGAGUAGAAGGCGCGGCCCAGAGAGCCCACCGUGGGUUCUCCGUUGCUGUUAACAUUGGUUAGUCGUAACUGGCCGGAGGAUGAGACGGAG
rnacentral:lncRNA from 1 species